GGAAUAUUGUCGUGUGACACAUGAUAACAACAAUACGGAAGAAGCUACAAUCAGCUGAUACACUCCGACUACAGCUCUUUGUGUUGUUAGGAGUUUACUACAUUAUGGAGGACCAGGAGAUGCAACUAAAAGUUAGACGAGUGACUGACAAAUUCACGGAGAGCAUGUACGUGCUGGCUAACGAGCCGUCAGUGGCUCUGUACAGGCUGCAGGAGCACGUCAGGAGGUCUCUGCCGGAGCUGGUGCAGCACAAGACAGACAUGCAGAGCUGGGAGGAGCAGAGUCAAGGAGCCAUCUACUCAGUGGAGUAUGCAUGCAGUGCCGUGAAGAGCAUGACAAACAGCAGCUUGUAUUUCAAAAACAUUGACGGCCUCCUCCGGCAAGCCAUCAGCAUGAAGGAACAGAUUAGCAACUCUCAAGGACGCAGACUCCUGCAUGAAGCUUACAUGAUGUGACUCCCCCUCCCAGUCCCCCUGUCUCUGCUCCACAUGCCCCUUCCACUUCCUCCUGACCUCUGGACCGAGGUGUCCAAGGAAGCGGACAAUGGACUCAGGCGUGCUAAAGGAAGGAGGAGAGAAGCACGGCUCUGGGAUGUGACGUGACUUCCUGAGUUGGUGGUGUUCACUUCUACAGUCCCUUGCUCUGCUACCUCUUGAUUGAGGCUGAAGUGGGGUCAUAAGGGCGACACCUCCUCAUCACAAUGGAGUGACUGCCUCCAGUGACCCCCAGUACAAGCCGCUCAGUGGAACAGAGCACCACAGCACUGCCACGUUCAGCAUUAAAAAAACACUUAAGUCAUGGACGCUGCUCAAAGAAUGCAUUGUUCUCUUGGACUCGCCGGACAGAGCAGAGAGAAAGCAGCCAUGCUGGUUUUGUUUCUGCUUUUCACAAUCUACUGCAGCACCAAUGUUUUGAACAGUAGUUAUCAAGUCUUUGUGAAUUUGUUGUUAAAGAAAAAAUUACCCUGUAUGCAAAUUAUAAAAGCUUAAGAAAACAUACAAAUAUGUGCUAGAAGGCAAUGGCAGGUGCCCAAUUCUAAACUUAAUUUCAGGAUUUAAUAUAUAGAUGGCAUGCCAGAUUGGGCAACAUGUUCUUCAAGAGAGAAUCCAGAAUCUAAAUGAAAGGAACAUUUGUUUUCACCUGCCAAGUAGACAGAAACCCCGAGGCAGAACAGUCCGAUAGCCACGUGUCGUACAGCUCUGCUAUCCAAAAGGAACCAGUCUGCUCUGUGGAAACAAAGUUCAUUGUCUGACAUGCUUAAACUUUAACAUUACUACUUCAGUUCUGUAACAUGGGCAUAAAUAAAGACAAUUUCAUGCAACCA